rnacentral:lncRNA from 1 species
CUACCAGGCCCACCAGCCUGGCAUCAGCCUCGCCUGUUCUCUUUCCCACCCCACAUCCUUUUGGCAGACAACUCUGUUAUCACCGUAUCACCGUCUUCCGAACACUUCUGCAAUCCCAGCCUUCCCUGCUCCUCCACGGCGACCCUCCUGGUCCCACACACUGGCCUGGGCCACCCGGAUCGAUCUCCCCAGCAGCCAGCAGCCACCCAGCGGACUGGCCUGUGGCAUCCUUCCCUGGCACCAUCCCCCUCUCUGGGCAAAGGCGGGACUGCAGGACGCCCCAUUUCACGGAGCCUGACUGAAGUGCCUCUGGUGGCCCUGGGGCCCUUCAGGUCCCCCCAUCUACAUGUGGGUGACAUGAUCCUCCCUCUGGCUCUGCCACCAGCAGCCCUCCAGCCACUGGCCUCCUGCCUCUUCCAGCACACUAGCACUCCCCGAAGCUGGCGUCUGAUCCAGGCUGCACCCCAGGAGGGCAGCCUCUGGUCCCUGCUGUAUCCACUGCUGCAUCCCUGUGCCGCUGGGCAUGGAGUUUCUGCGCCGUACCUGUGGGUCCAUUCUGCUUCCCUGAACUUUCCAGGAAACUCCAGCGGCCGCAGGAUCCUGCACACCCACCGCCAAAGGGCCCUGUAGCUGUUAUCACAUUUGAAGGAGGUCUGUGACUAAACAAAGGGCUGGAGGUCAGGCCCGGUCAUGGCAGCAAAGGGCACGGUGGGUGGUCCAGAUGUGUUGGUAGCAGUCUCACAGGUGGAGGUGCAGAGAGUGAUUCUGUGGGUUCCCUGGGGAAGUGCGGGUCCCCUGUGGUUUUCACCUUUCACCGAAGGCACCCCACGGUUGAGGCGGCCAGGCUCAGAGGCUGGCUGUGGGUGGCUGUCUCCUCACUGAGUAGACUGCCAAGACUGCGAGGGCCCUCUUGUCACCCAAAGUGCAGGGCUGGGUCUUGAGCUAGCAGAGCCCAUUCCUCCAUUUCUCUAGGCCUCAACUGCGUUUCCCCUGCAGGAGUCCUGCACCCCAAGACGUGUGAGCAGUAGUCUUGUCCACGUUCUAGAUCAACAAGUAGGGGCCUCAGAGAGGCUCACGAGUGGCAGAACAGGAAGCAACUGGCCGCCUAGGCUUGGGCCACCUCCACUUGCUAUGUGGCCACCUGCCCAGGGCGGACAG